rnacentral:misc_RNA from 1 species
UCUCAAAUCCUUAGCACUUCUUUUUCUACUAGAUCUGAUGGUGUUGCUAGCUAAUAAACAGCUUUUUGCUUCGAAGAACGAACCAGACCGAGUAAAUAUCAAUAACAAACACAGCUAUAGAGCGAGAGAGAGAAAGAGAGAGAGUUUUAUCGAUGUCAGAAAUCAAGUAAGACAAAGCCCAAGGAAUUCACAAGAAGUCAUAGCCAAGCCAAGACAACCU